rnacentral:rRNA from 1 species
GACGAACGCUGGCGGCGUGCUUAACACAUGCAAGUCGAACGGAGAAGCGCCUUCCUUUUUGGUGGGAGGGGAUGAGUGGCGAACGGGUGAGUAACAGGUGAGUAAACUGCCCACUUCUGCAGGAUAACCGCAUGAAGGAGUGGCUAAUACGGGAUAUACUGGGUCUGUCGCAUGAUGGGUCUGGGACGGAUAUUGUUUCGGUGGGGGAUGGGCUCGCGGCGUAUCAGCUUGUUGGUGGGGUGAUGGCCUACCAAGGCGGUGAGGGGUAGCCGUCCUGAGAGGGUGGACGGCCACACUGCGGCUGAGACACGGCCCAGACUCCUACGGGCGGCAGCAGUGGGGAAUAUGGCACAAUGGGCGCAAGCCUGAUGCAGCGACGCCGCGUGAGGGAUGGAGGCCGUCGGGUUGUGAACCUCUUUCGCCAGUGAAGCAGGCCUACCUCGUUUGUGCGUGGGUUGACGGUAGCUGGAUAAGAAGCGCCGGCUAACUACGUG